GCCCAAUUUCGCACGUGCCUGUGGUCGUGUGUCGGUCGGUAGGUAUCCGGACAAGAGGCCGGACAGCCGCCAAGGAUGAGAAGCCCGAGCAUCGCUCUCCAGCGAUGCGACACGUGAAGGCUCCUCCUUCUUGCAACCGUGAUCGGCAGCCGGAGGCGAACCGGCGUACUCCGCGCUCAACGGAGGACGCGACUUAAAGCAACGACGGAGCGGGCUUUU
rnacentral:sRNA from 1 species